GGCAGCGUUUGGCAGAGCGGAGAUUUUUGGGCCCUGCCCGGGCAGCGCAGCACCAAACGUGCUGCGGUGCUGCCUCCGGACGGGCAGGGCACGGGGUCGGAGGCGUGCUGCUCCCUCGGCAAGGAAAAAAGGAAAAUAAGACACACCGGCGGAGGGAAGGCCGAGCUUUAACCAAGGGCAGGGAGAAGGCAUUGCAUAAACUGCAAAGGCGCGGUGCUGGAAACGGGCUGGGCGCGGGCCUCGCUCCGCUCCCAGCUGAAUUAAGGGGAGUUUCACCGCUGGCUUAACGGGAAUAAAGGCAGGCUGCGUCCCAAAACCCCGUUCUUUAGAAGUUAGAGUCUGAGACAGAUUAAUUGGAAACAGGCUUAGAAGAGCCAGUUACACGCAAACGUUGGACAGAGUCCUGCAAAACUCCCUCCAGUCUACGAGCAAACGCUUCUGUAAAACUUCAGGAUUACAUCCGAAACUGAAGGAUCAGCGGCCCACGAUUUGCAUCCACCAAAAUCAACCAUUCCCUUUAAUUUUCGCUCUGAUUUUCCUCUAAAUCCUAUUUUUUUCUCACUGGGUUGCGUUUCCCCACAGCUAGAUAUGAAACUCCUGCUUAAACCGAACGAUGAGCGCUGCGAUCUUGACAUGCCUUUCCCAGAGAUGUGUAACGCUGCCUGGAGAGCUGUGCCAAGAUCAAACUGCUUCGGAUUGAAGAAUUCAGCCUGCUUGGAAAAGGAGAUAAGAAUCUGCGCCUUUUUUUUGUUGUGUUGUUUUAAAGGAACAUUUAAGGUGGCAAACACGGAGUUUAGCUACUGAAAGGCAGUUGACUAAUGAAAAAGCUUCCUAAACGGUGAAAUACCGCUCAGCUCCAGCAAGCAUAUUCUGUUUCAAUCGCUGUGUACGUGGGCGUACAAUAUUUUUCACAGAUUGCCCGCAAAACUCAUCACUACUUAUAUGAUAAUAUUUGGGGGCUGAAUUUAUUGCUGGCUGGAAUAAGUGCCUUUCUUCAGCCCUCUGAAGUAAUUCCUUAGGUUGCCAUGUUGCCGCAGCACUCCAUGAGCCGAUACAAGAGUUGGAAAUCCCAUCACCCAGGUUCUGCUCCUGUGUCUCAGCUGCCUAAAGGGAAGCCCUCUGAACUCACCAGCUUGCUGCAUUUUUGGUGCCUGAGAAAAGUGACCAGCCAGCAGUGUUUGUCCGGUCCUUAACAGGAUACCAGGAACCGGGAAAAAACAAGCACUUAGAAAUCAGAAAUCAUCCUUAGCAUUCCUAAUAAGCCUUAACCUUUCCAGUGAUGCAGAGGGCAAUUAUUGCACUUUUUACCCUCCAUGAAGUGCAGGAAAUACAGGUUUAUUUGCCAGUAUGCACAGAAAUCAAGGCAUAUAACUUCUCUUCCAGUAACAAUUUGCUCUAUUGCCCAAAUGUAGCACAUUCCUACCAGCCUUGGCACUGUCUGGGCCCUUGGUGAGGUCUAUGCCUGAAUUUGGUUUCUGCCUCCAGCACUGGUUUCUCCCGUUCCUUUGGGCUGUUAUUUGACACACUUCUGUCUCUGCUGCUCAGCUGCCUAUAAAACAAGGAUGAGACAUCCUAGGUUUCCCUGGGAUGCUUUCCAAUGAUUGUAAUAACUGAGUUUUGAUGCUAACAUGUAAAUAGAUGGAAGAAUGCUAAAUAUUACUCAAAUGAAGAAUAAUAUUCAUAUAGGUACACCAAGAGGUUCUGGGCUGAAUGGAACUCCAUUUAAAUAAGCAUGUAUUAUUACUUUUCAUUGCUUUGCUUUCUAUAGUGCAAUAAAAAUGGUUUUGCCUCUCUUGUGACAGUGAAUACAAAGAACAAUGUCACAUAUGUUAAAAUACAUCAUAUAUCAUACAGAUAGAUAAAUUCAUAUAUGUGUUCGUGUGUAUGUUAAACUUGCUUGAUAUGCAAGCUUGCAUACUAUGGUUGCUUGCAAGGUUGUUUUCAGUAGCUGCUUUUUCACAAAAAAUGCAAUGAGUUAUUUUAGACUAUGAGAAAAGAAUCAUUUACUGUCAUUUGGGCUUAUUUCCCAGAUGGCAUAAUGUGAAGCUGUUACCAGGUAAAGUCUUCUUGCAGCAGUUUAUAACUCUUAGGUAUUAAGAUUUUUUUUUUUCACAUAUUCUUGUUAUUUAUUAAUAGUUAUGAAUCUACUUGUGACUUUACAGUGUAAUUCUAAGACAGGAUUGUACAAAAAGUAAAAUAGAACAAACUGUGUAAAUUACAAUGCAUCUGUAUAAAACUGUA